rnacentral:rRNA from 1 species
UUGAAAGGGAAACGAUUGAAGUCNGUCGGACNNAUGNGNAAUCAGCCUUUUGGNNNUNNNUUUGUGGAGCGUGAGGAGUUAAACGCCUUCAUGCCUGCAUAUUCGUGCACUUUGGGUGUACUUGCCCGUAUGGUUGGUUAACAUCAAUUUUGGUGGUCAUAAAAUGACUGGAGGAAUGUAGCUUCGAUCUUGUAUUGAAGUGUUAUAGCCUUUGGUAAAUGUGAUGAUUAGGAUCGAGGAUUGCAACGAAUACCCUUUUGGGCUAUCCGCCUGAUCUCUGAUACGUGGCCUUGGUAUCGAAAGCGUGCUUAUGGUAUUGAGGUAUUACGGUCAAAAGGUUAGAACGGAUUACAUUCGUUAAGGAUGUUGACGUA